rnacentral:lncRNA from 1 species
GCUAAGACUGUAUUAUGUCAAGAACCAUAGUAGACUUGUUGUGCUAUCCACAAGGCUUACUGUGUGGACUGAUUUAAUAUUAUCUUGGUGCAUAAUGAAAUUGAUAAUAUUUAGCUCAUACUAAGUCAAUAAAGUAUAUCAAAAAUUGUAGUGAGUUUAUUGUGCUAUCCACAAGGCUUGCUAUAGUGAUUGGUAUGAUG